GACGAACGCUGGCGGCGUGCUUAACACAUGCAAGUCGAACGAUGAAGCCGGAGCUUGCUCUGGUGAAUUAGUGGCGAACGGGUGAGUAACACGUGAGUAACCUGCCCUUGACUCUGGGAUAACUGCGGGAAACUGUAGCUAAUACCGGAUACGACCCUCGGAGGCAUCUCCUGGGGGGGGAAAGAAUUUCGGUCAAGGAUGGACUCGCGGCCUAUCAGCUAGUUGGUGAGGUAAAGGCUCACCAAGGCGACGACGGGUAGCCGGCCUGAGAGGGUGACCGGCCACACUGGGACUGAGACACGGCCCAGACUCCUACGGGAGGCAGCAGUGGGGAAUAUUGCACAGUGGGCGCAAGCCUGAUGCAGCAACGCCGCGUGAGGGAUGACGGCCUUCGGGUUGUAAACCUCUUUUAGCAGGGAAGAAGCGAAAGUGACGGUACCUGCAGAAAAAGCACCGGCUAACUACGUGCCAGCCGCCGCGGUAA
rnacentral:rRNA from 1 species